AUUGAACGCUGGCGGCAGGCCUAACACAUGCAAGUCGAACGGUAACAGGAAGAAGCUUGCUUCUUUGCUGACGAGUGGCGGACGGGUGAGUAAUGUCUGGGAAACUGCCUGCUGGAGGGGGAUAACUACUGGAAACGGUAGCUAAUACCGCAUAACGUCGCAAGACCAAAGAGGGGGACCUUCGGGCCUCAUGCCAUCGGAUGUGCCCAGAUGGGAGUAGCUAGUUGGUGGGGUAACGGCGCACCAAGGCGACGAUCCCUAGCUGGUCUGAGAGGAGGACCAGCCACACUGGAACUGAGACACGGUCCAGACUCCUACGGGAGGCAGCAGUGGGGAAUAUUGCACAAUGGGCGCAAGCCUGAUGCAGCCAUGCCGCGUGUAUGAAGAAGGCCUUCGGGUUGUAAAGUACUUUCAGCGGGGAGGAAGGGAGUAAAGUUAAUACCUUUGCUCAUUGACGUUACCCGCAGAAGAAGCACCGGCUAACUCCGUGCCAGCAGCCGCAGUAA
rnacentral:rRNA from 1 species